rnacentral:rRNA from 1 species
UACGUAGGGUGCGGGCGUUAAUCGGAAUUACUGGGCGUAAAGGGCUCGUAGGCGGCCAACUAAGUCGGAUGUGAAAUCCCCAGGCUUAACCUGGGAACUGCAUCCGAUACUGGAUGGCUUGAAUUCGGGAGAGGGAUGCAGAAUUCCAGGUGUAGCGGUGAAAUGCGUAGAUAUCUGGAGGAAUACCGGUGGCGAAGGCGGCAUCCUGGACCGACAUUGACGCUGAGUGAGCGAAAGCUAGGGGAGCAAACGGG